rnacentral:rRNA from 1 species
GACUCUCGGCAACGGAUAUCUCGACUCACGCAUCGAUGAAGAACGUAGCAAAAUGCGAUACUUGGUGUGAAUUGCAGAAUCCCGUGAACCAUCGAGUUUUUGAACGCAAGUUGCGCCCAAUGCCUUUUGGCUGAGGGCACGUCUGCCUGGGCGUCACAC